ACGUCCAUCCUGGCCGCGCUGCUGACAGUCUUGCACCCUGAGAAAUGGUUGUGGGAGUGCCCAUAAAGAUGUCACAUUGGGGUCCAAUCCAAUUCCAGUGUGGCCCACCAUUGGCUGAGCCCAUGGUGGGAUCUAUACCAAGAGUCAGGGCAAGGGCCAGGGAUGAAGGCUCAGUCAAGACACACUGUCCCAGGCUGAUGACAUAUCAGCAGCCAGACACCAUACAUUGCUUCAGCAGCCAUAGGAAGCAGCCACUGGAGACAGCUGGCAGCUGUGGGCAAGCUGGACCUGUCACACUAGCCUGCCAGACCCUAGGAUCUAUUGGUGGCAGUGAGAAGGGGUAUCUCUUUGGAUCCCCCCAGGUUUGGACAUCAGCUUGGGCGUCAGCAGUGCAGGGGCACACAGUCUGAGCUGCACUAGCUGGGCUGUGAGAUCCUUCAGCCUCAGGGGUCAUAGCUGAGUUUGUUCUCCUUCAGACGUAGGUAGAUAAGGAGCCAGGUAAGGGUAAACGUCCUUCUCAUGCGGGCGUGACAGCAGACUGGUGAAGUGGGACAUCCCUGUUUGAGUUCCAGCUUUAUUUUAACUUUGAAAGGACUUUUAUUUAUUUUUAUUUUUUGAAUAUCAAGAGGAGAGAAAAAUAGAAUGAUAUGUCAUAGAAGCCAAGGUCACUGUCAGCAGUCUCAAAUGCAGGUGAAAAGCUGAGAAAAUGAGGACAAAAAAAAAAGUUUCCACUGAGUUCACAGUCAAGGAACUCACUGAUUAUCACAGGAGAAAAGUUCUGAUGAAGAACUUAGUGGGAGCCAGUGGGUGGAGUGAAGGUUAGGAAAUGAAACCAAUUGUUAUAGACAACACUCUUAAAAACUGAUACUAUAAAGAAGACCAGAGAAGGAACCUAGUAGCAAGGGAUUAAAAAGUUUGUUGAGGGAAGGUAUUGCUUUAUUCAUUCAUUCAUUCAUAAAUUCCAUUCAUUUUCCUAUGUUAAUAUACACAGGAAGUAAAGGCCAUGUUUUAAAUAUGAUUCGAAAUUUCUGUUUUACAUCGACUUCAUUUUUCUCUCUUUUACCUUUCUAUCCCCUUCACCCGUUUCCCAUCUCCACCUCUGGCAACAACCAGUUCACCAAGGCUACUUCUCCUGUUUGUUCUUUUCUUAAUGGACCCCACAUAUAAGAGAGAGCAAACCACAGUUUUCUUCCUCUGCUUAUUUCACUCAGCAUAAUGCUCUUGAACUCUAUCCAUGUUGUCACACAUGGCAAGAUUUUAUUCCUUUUUAUGGCUAAACUCCACUAUACACAUACAUACACCACAUCUUCUUUAUCUAUUCAUCCAGCAAUGGACAGUUGGAGAUUUUCCAUAUCUUGGCUAUUACAAAUAACACUGCAAUGAACAUGGAGGUGCAUGUACCUUUUUAAGAUAGUAUUUUCUUCUUCUUUGAAUAAAUACCCCAAAGUGGAAUUGGUAGAUCAUACAAUAGUUCCACUUUUUUAUUUUUUGAGGGACUUUUAUAUUGUUUUCCAUAGUGGUUGCCCCAAGUUACAUUCCCGCCAGCAGUAUACACGGGCUCCCUUUCCUCCACAUCCUUGAGAACACUUAGUAUUUGUUACCCUGCUGAUAACAGGUAGUCUAACAGGGGCAAGGUGAUAUUCCACUGUGGUUUUGAUUGCAUUUCCCUCCUGAUUAACGAUGAUGAGCAUUUUUUAUGUACCUAUUGGUCAUCUGCAUCUGAUCUCCCCACCUGAGGAGGGAUACAAAGGUCCAGAAAAUUUGCCUAAAAAAAUCUAAGACUCAUGCGGCAGGAUAAACACACUGACCAAUCAAACUUCAUUGAAAGAAACCAAGCAAACUAUUGUCUUCCUCCAAAAUAGUAACAACGGCAAUAACUAACAAUUGGGCUCUAAAUCUGGGUCUACAGAGUCUGAGGCUGCACAUACAGGUUUAAUAGCCUCUUAUUCACCCAGAUGGUAAGGGAGGGAUUCCCAUCCCACCCCAGGGUUAUGGGACUUGCCAAACACAGCCUCCAACACUGGAAAAAUGAGAUCAACAGCAGUAUACCAGACACAUGCUCUCACAGCCUCAGAGAGAAAGACACUGCACAUCACACAGGGGUUGCACUUGGACACAGAGAGAACAAACUGGGACUGAGGAGUAGGCUUUGUAGUCACAAGAGGGUAGGGUGACCCCUGGUUCCCAUAGGCACUAGCCUUGCUUGAAUACUUCUGUAGGAUAACAGGAAACUGAACAAAACCCACUCCUCAGGGAGAAGCAAGAACUACACUGGUCCAUUAGAUAAGGAGGGUUGCUUGCCUAGAAGGACCUUAUCCACAGGAGUGGCAUUUGGAGGGAGCAGAAUCCAGAGAUUAGGUCAUCUGAGGGCCCCAUGAUUUGAACAGAUGUCAAGGAAACAUGUAAUAUAUUUUUUCUCUCUCUCUUUUUUUUUUUUUGCCCUUUUAGGGCCACACUAGAGUCAUAUGGAGGUUCACAGGCUAGGGGUUGAAUUGGAGCUGCAGCUGCCAGCCUACACCACAGCCACAGCAACAUGGGACUUGAGCUGCAUCUGAGACCUACACCACAACUCAUGGCAAUGCCAGAUCCUUAACCCACUGAGCGAGGCCAGGAAUCGAACUUGCAUCCUCAUGGAUAUUAGUCAGAUUUGUUUCUGCUGAGCCACAACGGGAACUCCAAGGAAGCAUGUAAAUUUGAGGUCUAACACAAGUUACUUCAUCAUCAAAACACUCCUGUGAAAUACCAUCACACCACUUUACAGAUGGUAGAUUCAAGGCUGAAAAGGCUAGUAGACUGCCCACUGUUGGCCAGCUGGUAAGUGGCUGAGCUGGUGUUCAGAUCUGACUUUGAUAAUCCCAGAGCUUGACCCCAUAAACCAUUGCUUUCAGGACAGGUGUAACAGUCCACCUUAGAGACGGAUUAGGAGAUGAGAAGAGAAAGAAAUUAAGGAGAUCAGCAAAUAUACCUCAACCUCAUAGACAGAAGCUCUGUUUAAACUGACAUGGUCUCUUUCACUGUUAACCAUUUGACUUUCUGAGUCCCACCUCACCUCUCCCCAAGGCAGUUAGGUUAAUAACACAGCCCCACCAACCGCUAGCAGCCAGCUCUGCAUCUGAUGUCCCACCUUGUACUUUAAUUGGUGGCCCCUGAAAUGCCUACAAGCCCGGCGGCUCCAGACACACUUCUGAUGACACAGCCCAGAGGAGGAGAACCCGUUCAAGCAGAUCACGCAGCCUCCCAGGUGCUUCAAAAUCCCAAGCCCGGAACGGCCCCGAAUUAGUCACCCUCCUGCACACGCACGCUGGGUGUGCCAGCGGGGUUUGGAUUUCUAGAAUUAAUUCCUUUGCACAGAAAGAGAGCUUAGCUCCAUCCAACCCAACCCCCUCAUUUCACAGUUAAAGAAGCUCAGGUGACAUCCCUGGGCCUCAAAGCUAGUUAGGGCAGCGGCUGCUCGGGUCCCUUUCCUAAACCCUCUAUGGGCUCCCUCCUCCCAUGGACCCCUCCCUCUAUAAAGGUCUGAGCAGGCAGAUACUCGCUUCUCCAGUGUCCUUUGAAGUUAAGGUGACCCUGUGACCCAUUUCCAGAUGCUGUGCCACGAGGGACUCUCCUGGAGGAAAUCUGGGAGGAUUUUCCUCCCUGAUAGGAAAGAGGAUGCUUGCAAAGAGAGCUCUGUUGUUUUCCCAGCCACUGCUAAUGGGAUGGACCGUGUCUCCCCCCAGCCCAAUUCAUCUGCUGAAGUUCUAACUCCCUGAUAUCUUAGACUGUGACUGUCUUUGGAGAUACAGCCUUUAAAGAGGUGAUUAAGUUAAAGUGAAGUCAUAGAUAAACCAUAGUCUAAUAUAACUAGCAUCCUAAGAAGAGGAGCUUAAGAUGACACACACAGAUGGAAGAUUACCUGAGAACACGGAAGUAUGAUGGCCAACCACAAGCCUCAGAAGAAACCAACCCUGCCAACACCUUGAUCUUGGACUUCAAGCCUCCAGAACUCUGAGACAAAAAGUUUCUGUGUGUAAGCCCCCCUGUCUGUGGUCCUCUGCCAUGACAGCCAUGGGACGCAUACACCAUCGUCUGCUCCUUGGCUUCUGUAACAGCCUGGGAGAACAUGAAGCUCAAAAGCAGAGAAAAUGUCUUUCAACCAUGAGGGGAACACCACAGAUGCUAACACGGCAUCUUGGCCUGAGAGUCUGCAUUUCUGAAAGCCCCCAAGGGAUCUCUGUGCUGCUGGAGCAUAGACCACCCUUGGAAGAGGAGCCCCUCGUUUCUGGGUGUGUUCCCUGCCUGUCCAUCCUUCCAGCUGGCGGAUCUGCUCUGCCAUCAGGACCAGACCUUCUCCCUGUACUCAUGAGAUGUCAUUCCUGGAGUCUGAUGUCCUGACCUCCCGGCAGCCUGGCCCUCUACCCUCAGCUCCUGCGCCAAGCCCGUGAGGCACACUCCACUUCACCAGUCCAGGGACUGUCACAAUCACAAAGUCCUCGAGGCUUCACGGUUCAGUCAAGUCACAGGGAGCUUGGGAAGACAGGAAUUGGGAGGCUAUGUGGGGCUCUAUGGAGACAGUUCAAAACAGAAAGCAGGGGUUCUUUCACUCCAGGAUGCCUAGAGCCCUUGGGGCCCCCAGCAGGACCCUGGUCCCAGCAUGGUCAGUGGACUAGCAUCAAUCAGUCCCCUUGUUCCAGCACUGUGCCCUAGUCCUGCCACCUGCUCAAAGCCUGCCCUGACCCUGUUCCCCAGCCCACCUGCACAUCGGUCACCUGCCUUUGUCGGGCACCCCAUCCCAACCUCCCACCCAUGGAGAAGCCGGUGCCUGCUGCGAGUUCUGCUUCCUUCAAAUACCAGCUUCUGCCUUUAGGCACCGCCUGCCACUCUCCUUCCCUCCCCGCCUCCCUCCAUCUUGGUCACCCCCACCCACUCCUGCGACCCCCCCAUGCUUCUGCUGUCCAUGAACUCAAGUUCACAUUCUCUCCUCCAAGGCUGUGCUCUCAAUUUCCUCUCCUGACUCCUCUUAGCAUCUCCUACAGGCCUCUGGUUUAGAAUAUGCCAAAUGCCACUGUCACUGCUUAUUUAAAACAUGUUUCUUUCCUCCCAAGACGGGGCCCGUGGUGGGCAGGAACCAAUAUUCAUCUUGGAAUCCUUCCCCCGACUCAACCUUCUCUAUGCACCCCCCCAACCUAACAGCCUCCAGGCCGUGGUGUGCCCCCAGAGGCUAAAGGGCACAGCAUUCACCCAUGUGCCCUUUCAUCCUAAGUUCCUUCCUUCCUCAGCCUUCUGACUCAGGCAACCAGAAGCUGUGAUGUGAUCAAGCAAAGAAACACAGGUUCAGAUCUGUGAAUCAUUUCCAGUGUGCUAGGCACCCUGAUAAGUUUUACAUAGACCCAUUUAAUUAAUCUUCAUGAAGCUAUUAUUACUAUUUGUGUUCAUAGGAUCUUUAAAGACACAGGAACAGGGGGUUUAGAGUGGCUAAAGGGACUAUUGCCCAGAUUGCAUAGCCAGGCAGCCAUGAAGCCAGAAUCCCAGCUUCUUUUUAUUUCUAGAUAGAGGAUUCAGGAACUAGAAGGCACUUCCUGAGCCUCUGGUGACUUCCGUACACUGGGAGACAGUGUGGUGUGAAAGUGGGGUUCCUGGCUGAAAGAGGGGAUACCUUAAAUCUAUGAACUCUGUCUCUCCACCUCCUCCCUCCACCAAACUGUGGGUUUGUGCUGCCAGAGCCAUGAGUCAAUGCCAGCCUUCCACGGUCCUGGGAUUUUAAAUACAUUUAACAGGCAACACCCAGUCACAUAGUUUCCAAUACCCAGAGAUGUCUAUGUAUGUAAAUCUUCUGCAGUAUAUUAUCCUAAGGCUGUAUUUUCAGUAUGUAAUUGAGAAUGUAUUUUUUUUUCUAUUUAGGACUGCACUUGCAACAUAUGGAAAUUCUCAUGCUAGGGGGUCGAAUCAGAGCUGUAGCAGCCGGCCCAGGCCACAGCCACAGCCACGAAGGAUCCGAGCUGCAUCUGCGACCUACACCACAGCUCUCAGCAACGCCGGAUGCUUAACCCACUGAGCAAGGCCAGGGAUCAAGCCUAUGUCCUUGUGGAUACUGGUCGGGUUUGUUACCUCUCAGCCACAGUGGGAAUUCCCAAGAAUGUACUUUAGAUCGCGUGUUUAGUAUAGCACAGGCUUUGGCUCAAGUCUUGGCUAGGAUAGCAGAAAGCACUAAAUGCAACGGCCCAAUUCCUAUGCCUGUACUCGGCUGAAGGCCACUGGGCCGAUGCCAGUCAGACAGGGAGGCCAAGCCUGUGUGCCAGCUCAGCCUCAGGGUCAAGUCCACAUCAGAGGUGCCCUUGGGGUGAUCUCCCCCAUAAUACAGACUGUUCUGAGUCCCAGGUCCUGCCAGGAGGCCUCACGUGGCCCCUGGAGUCCUGGAAUCUGUGAGCCUCAGGGCCCCUAAUUCCCCAAAUGCCUGCCCCAUCAUAAGUCCAGCUUCCUGCAGCCACAGAGAGUGGGUAUAGUUUGGCAGGCAACACCCAGUCACAGGGAGUUCCUUGGUAGCCUAGCACUUAAGGAUUCAGCAUUGUCAUGGCCGUGGCUCGGGUUCAGCCCCAGCCUAGGAACUUCCUUAUGCCAUGGGCAUGCCCCCCACCCCCACCAAUAAAAGAGUAAGUAUCAUUUUGCGAGGCUUCUGGUGUAUGUAGGGCAGCAUUUCUUUGAAAUUUCUACUGAGCGCCUCCAGCUGCAAAGGCACGGAAUAAGCAACCAGGAUGUAGAGGGAUGGCCUGCAGCAGCCUGGAACCAGCUUUGAGGUGUUGCAUUUAUCCCAAUAAUUCAUGAGAUUUUUACAUUCCAAAAUAUGCUAUGUCUAUUUGUAUUAUACAUAAAAUUAGCAAUCGCCUGAAACCU
rnacentral:lncRNA from 1 species